rnacentral:rRNA from 1 species
GGACGAACGCUGGCGGGCGUGCCUAAUGCAUGCAAGUCGAGCGGGCUACAGUCUUCGGAUUGUAGCUUAGCGGCGAACGGGUGAGUAACACGUAGGUAAUCUACCCUUCAGAGGAGGACAACCUCAGGAAACUGAGGCUAAACCUCCAUACGUUCAUAUGCAGGGAUGCAGAUGAAGAAAGAGUUACCCGUGAGGGUAGCUGCUGAAGGAUGAGCCUGCGGCCCAUCAGGUAGUUGGUGAGGUAAUGGCUCACCAAGGCGACGACGGGUAGCCGGCCUGAGAGGGCGACCGGCCACACUGGGACUGAGACACGGCCCAGACCCCUACGGGAGGCAGCAGUGGGGAAUAUUGCACAAUGGGCGAAAGCCUGAUGCAGCGACGCCGCGUGAGGGAUGACGGCCUUCGGGUUGUAAACCUCUUUCAGCAGGGAAGAAGCGAAAGUGACGGUACCUGCAGAAGAAGCACCGGCUAACUACGUG